rnacentral:rRNA from 1 species
GAUGAAUGCUGGCAGCGUGCCUAACACAUGCAAGUCGAGCGGCAGCGAGUUUUACACUGACUUCUGGAAGCUUCUGAGUAGUACAGAAGAUUUAUUCAAGAGUUUUGUGUAAAAUGUCGGCGAGCGGCGGACGGCUGAGUAACGCGUAGGAAUUUGCCCCAAAGUGAGGAAUAACUGCCCGAAAGGGUAUCUAAUGCCGCAUAUGGUCUUCGGAUUAAAGCCUUGGGGCGCUUUGGGAGAAGCCUGCGUUGGAUUAGGUAGUUGGUAGGGUAAUGGCCUACCAAGCGGACGAUCCAUAGCUGGUAUGAGAGGAUGAUCAGACAGACUGGAACUGAGACACGGUCCAGCCUCCUACGGGAAGCAGCAGUGAGGAAUCUUCCACAAUGGGCGAAAGCCUGAUGGAGCAACGCCGCGUGAAGGAUGAAGGCCUUCGGGUUGUAAACUUCUUUUAUGAGUGAAGAAUAUGACGGUAACUCAUGAAUAAGCACCGGCUAACUACGUG